UGGGGAAUAUUGCACAAUGGGGGAAACCCUGAUGCAGCGACGCCGCGUGAGCGAAGAAGGCUUUCGAGUCGUAAAGCUCUGUCCUAUGAGAAGAUAAUGACGGUACCUCAAGAAAAAGCCCCGGCUAACUACGUGCCAGCAGCCGCGGUAAUACGUAGGGGGCUAGCGUUGUCCGGAAUCACUGGGCGUAAAGGGUUCGCAGGCGGAAUAACAAGUCAGAUGUGAAAGGCAUGGGCUCAACCCAUGUAAGCAUUUGAAACUGUAAUUCUUGAGAAGUGGAGAGGUAAGUGGAAUUCCUAGUGUAGCGGUGAAAUGCGUAGAUAUUAGGAGGAAUACCUGUGGCGAAGGCGACUUACUGGACACAAAUCUGACGCUGAGGAACGAAAGCGUGGGUAGCAAACAGG
rnacentral:rRNA from 1 species